rnacentral:lncRNA from 1 species
UAGUUGCAAACUAUCACUUCUACGAAACGGCAGAUACUUUCUACCCCUUGUUUCUAAAAUAAUAUUAUUAUUAUAUAACUGAUAUUGACCUCGUUUCCCUCCUAAUAAAAACAGAUGCAAACGAAACGUUUCCGUGCUGAGAUUAAAACUGGGAUAAGGGUUUGUCGGCUGACAAACUGAGGAGAGGAACUUCAGUCUUACGUUUUCAAGAGGCUAUCAUACUUUCGUUCAUCAUACAUAAUUCCAAGUCAGGAGGAAAUAUCAAACAUAAACCUUGCCGAUCACGAAAGUUGCGGAAUUACUGUUGACAGAGUAAGCGAGAAAAGAUGGCGGUUAUGAAGCCUGAUUUGGGAAUUCAGUGUUAUGCAAGACAACACACUCAAGCUGAUCAAGAGAACAGACAACUGAGCUUGAAGCAUGUUAACCUAAUCGAAUUUGGAAGUUACUUGAUGAUCGUUGCACCCUCUAGGUGUGAAAACAGUUUUAAAGAUUGGUUUCACUGUAAUCUUUUCCGGUUAAUAAUCUAUCACCAGUUUCACUGUAAUCUAUUCCCAUAUACAUAAACGGUGUACAUAAACACACUCGAGUCGAAAGCGUCACCGAUUUUCUUUCAGGAGCUCAACUAGGUAGUCUUUCUUAUCUAAUCUCUGGACUUUCCAAAUGAGGAUUCAAAGAGAGGUCGAAGUUCAUCCGUUAAUGAAACUAUGAUUUAUAUCAUAUUGCAUUUACUUUCUUCUACGAGGACAAAGAACCCACUAAAAUAUGUGUCACUUCUUACGCGAGGUUUAGUUGCUCAGUUUGUACUAGCGCCAAACUUGUAUCUUGAAAACACGCCGGAGUUUGUAUCCCGUUCAAGCCUCGAUAUAUUCAGACCUUUUUUUUUUUUAUUCAAUUGUUUAUUUAAAGCUCAACUCUUAAUUUUUCUGCACUUGAACUUCAUCUGCAAGUGAGCACAUGACUUAUUUCAUUAAAACCGCGAUAAGACGGCGGAAAUUAAACCGA